GUUAAGCGACUAAGCGUACACGGUGGAUGCCCUGGCAGUCAGAGGCGAUGAAGGACGUGCUAAUCUGCGAUAAGCGUCGGUAAGGUGAUAUGAACCGUUAUAACCGGCGAUUUCCGAAUGGGGAAACCCAGUGUGAUUCGUCACACUAUCAUUAACUGAAUCCAUAGGUUAAUGAGGCGAACCGGGGGAACUGAAACAUCUAAGUACCCCGAGGAAAAGAAAUCAACCGAGAUUCCCCCAGUAGCGGCGAGCGAACGGGGAGCAGCCCAGAGCCUGAAUCAGUGUGUGUGUUAGUGGAAGCGUCUGGAAAGGCGCGCGAUACAGGGUGACAGCCCCGUACACAAAAAUGCACAUGCUGUGAGCUCGAUGAGUAGGGCGGGACACGUGGUAUCCUGUCUGAAUAUGGGGGGACCAUCCUCCAAGGCUAAAUACUCCUGACUGACCGAUAGUGAACCAGUACCGUGAGGGAAAGGCGAAAAGAACCCCGGCGAGGGGAGUGAAAAAGAACCUGAAACCGUGUACGUACAAGCAGUGGGAGCACGCUUAGGCGUGUGACUGCGUACCUUUUGUAUAAUGGGUCAGCGACUUAUAUUCUGUAGCAAGGUUAACCGAAUAGGGGAGCCGAAGGGAAACCGAGUCUUAACUGGGCGUUAAGUUGCAGGGUAUAGACCCGAAACCCGGUGAUCUAGCCAUGGGCAGGUUGAAGGUUGGGUAACACUAACUGGAGGACCGAACCGACUAAUGUUGAAAAAUUAGCGGAUGACUUGUGGCUGGGGGUGAAAGGCCAAUCAAACCGGGAGAUAGCUGGUUCUCCCCGAAAGCUAUUUAGGUAGCGCCUCGUGAAUUCAUCUCCGGGGGUAGAGCACUGUUUCGGCAAGGGGGUCAUCCCGACUUACCAACCCGAUGCAAACUGCGAAUACCGGAGAAUGUUAUCACGGGAGACACACGGCGGGUGCUAACGUCCGUCGUGAAGAGGGAAACAACCCAGACCGCCAGCUAAGGUCCCAAAGUCAUGGUUAAGUGGGAAACGAUGUGGGAAGGCCCAGACAGCCAGGAUGUUGGCUUAGAAGCAGCCAUCAUUUAAAGAAAGCGUAAUAGCUCACUGGUCGAGUCGGCCUGCGCGGAAGAUGUAACGGGGCUAAACCAUGCACCGAAGCUGCGGCAGCGACGCUGAUGCGUUGUUGGGUAGGGGAGCGUUCUGUAAGCCUGCGAAGGUGUGCUGUGAGGCAUGCUGGAGGUAUCAGAAGUGCGAAUGCUGACAUAAGUAACGAUAAAGCGGGUGAAAAGCCCGCUCGCCGGAAGACCAAGGGUUCCUGUCCAACGUUAAUCGGGGCAGGGUGAGUCGACCCCUAAGGCGAGGCCGAAAGGCGUAGUCGAUGGGAAACAGGUUAAUAUUCCUGUACUUGGUGUUACUGCGAAGGGGGGACGGAGAAGGCUAUGUUGGCCGGGCGACGGUUGUCCCGGUUUAAGCGUGUAGGCUGGUUUUCCAGGCAAAUCCGGAAAAUCAAGGCUGAGGCGUGAUGACGAGGCACUACGGUGCUGAAGCAACAAAUGCCCUGCUUCCAGGAAAAGCCUCUAAGCAUCAGGUAACAUCAAAUCGUACCCCAAACCGACACAGGUGGUCAGGUAGAGAAUACCAAGGCGCUUGAGAGAACUCGGGUGAAGGAACUAGGCAAAAUGGUGCCGUAACUUCGGGAGAAGGCACGCUGAUAUGUAGGUGAAGCGACUUGCUCGUGGAGCUGAAAUCAGUCGAAGAUACCAGCUGGCUGCAACUGUUUAUUAAAAACACAGCACUGUGCAAACACGAAAGUGGACGUAUACGGUGUGACGCCUGCCCGGUGCCGGAAGGUUAAUUGAUGGGGUUAGCGCAAGCGAAGCUCUUGAUCGAAGCCCCGGUAAACGGCGGCCGUAACUAUAACGGUCCUAAGGUAGCGAAAUUCCUUGUCGGGUAAGUUCCGACCUGCACGAAUGGCGUAAUGAUGGCCAGGCUGUCUCCACCCGAGACUCAGUGAAAUUGAACUCGCUGUGAAGAUGCAGUGUACCCGCGGCAAGACGGAAAGACCC
rnacentral:rRNA from 1 species